CCUACGUGAGGCUGCAGUGGGGAAUAUUGUACAAUGGGGGAAACCCUGAUGCAGCGACGCCGCGUGAGUGAAGAAGUAUCUCGGUAUGUAACGCUCUAUCAGCAGGGAAGAAACUGACGGUACCUGACUAAGACGCCCCGGCUAACUACGUGCCAGCAGCCGCGGUAAUACGUAGGGGGAAAGCGUUAUCCGGAUUGACUGGGUGUAAAGGGAGCGUAGACGGCGCUGCAAGUCCGGAGUGAAAGCCCAGGGCUUAACCAUGGUACUGCUCUGGAAACUGUGGAGCUUGAGUGCUGGAGAGGCAGGCGGAAUUGCUAGUGUAGCGGUGAAAGGCGUAGAUAUUAGGAGGAACACCGGCGGCGAAGGCGGCCUGCUGGACCGUAACUGACGUUGAGGCUCGAAAGCGUGGGGAGCAAACAGGAUUUGAUACCCGAGUAGUC
rnacentral:rRNA from 1 species